GAUCUCUUUCUGUAUUUCCCAUUACAUUCUCUUGCUUUCAGAUGCACCUUAUUAUUCUUUGGGGGGCAUGUUCCAUAUGAAUAGAAUUGAUUUUCUAAAUAUAAUGAUAAUAAUAAUAAAAAUUUCUUUUACAGACAAUGGUUCGCUUCAAGUUUUGCAGCCAUUUUGAUCCAAGUCAUUUCGGAUGAGUAGUACCCAUAACCACGUAAAGUGAUGAUUUUGAUAAAAAAAUCCUCGUAAAUGCCGGAAGAAAUCCGUAUUAGUUUUAAAUGGUUUUCUGUAGCAAAGUGACUGUGGAUUUACUAAAUGACUACGGAGGUGGAAGAACCAGGAACAGCUUCCCUGUCAAAAUGUGUGAAUUGAUGUCAACAGUUGAACUGUGUCUGUCUCUCUCUGCGGUCAUUAUGAACAACUGUUCCAAGUCUCGAAGCCUUUUGGAUGGAGCUGAAGAAGAAGAAGAAAUACUCUGUCAUUUUCGUCUCCUUUAUUUCAGCCAAAUGUUGGUUUUCUGAAAAGAUUAAUCUUCAACAGAGUCAACUUUUGGUUUCCUGGUUUUGGGGACCUUUCAAAACACCACCGUAGGCAUUUGCAAGCAAUGGUCCAUCUUGUGUGGGUAAUGUCUGCGCUUAAUGGCCCUGUGAUUCCACUGCUUGGAUGCACUGGAGCUCAUGUUGUCAACAAUUACCCCAAUUUGGACCAGACAGACAGACUAUCUGAGAGUCAGGAGAGGACCAUAACCAUGGACAAAGAAGAUUUUUUUUUUCGAGGCAUCUCUUCUGAUAUACAUACUACAGCAGAUUUGGGACAGAUACAGAAAGGGUCCCACACUCCUUCCCAGAUCUGAGAGAAGAAUCCUACCCACCCACAGUCUCAGAGGAGAAGCCAGCAUUGCAGAGUCUAGGCUGUUAUUGACUGAGAAUGUCAAGAGGUUGAAAUAAUAAACUUGACAGGAAGGCUGCAUGCUUCAAUUUAAAGCUCAUGUUGUCAACAAUUACCCCAAUUUGGACCAGACAGACAGACUAUCUAAGAGUCAGAAGAGGAUCAUAACCAUGGACAAAGAAGAAUUUUUUUCCAAGGCAUCUCUUCUGAUAUACGUACUAACUGAGAAUGUCAAGAGGUUGAAAUAAUAAACUUGACAGGAGGAAGGCUGCAUGCUUCAAUUGAAAGGUCAGAAGCUCAAGAGCUCUAAGCAAGAUCAGAUAUGGCAAUGAUGCCUCAAGAAAUAGCUCUAUCAGGCAUGGGCAGGAAGUGAUGCCCUCUACCCACCAGAGUACCAUUUCUUGAUCUUGUCCACAUCACUCCAAUGGCCUGUCCUUCCUUCUUGGAUGCACAGCCAGGAUGCUAAAGGAGCCCAGUGUCUCAUUGCCGGAGAAGUGGCAGAGGAGGUGAAGGCUCUGGUAAAGCCCCCAACUAAUAAUAUGGCUGUCCACUGGCCUUGGUGGACAGCCUAACAACACCAGUAUUGUGUUACAACAAUUGUUUCUGAAGGAACAAGAAGUCUGGGCAACAACUAUAUACUUAGAAGACUUCAAGUGACUCCAUGCCCCUUUGUACCUGGAUGUCCUCUAAAGGAACUACAAACUUCAGGAUUGUUUAGUUUAUUCAUCGAGUGGUUGAAGACAUCAUCUUGGGGCCUCAUCGAGGGACUCUACACUCAUCGAUCUUCCUGGUGGUGGUGUUAUAAGGUCUUGCAUACAAAAUGGUAGUGAAGCACAGAUAUAAUAACAUUGGGAUAUCUCAUUUACUUAUCUCAUUGAUGAAAGCAAUUCCUAAUCUUGAUUAUGAUAUCCAUCUAUGAAUAAUUCUCAGCAAUUCUGCAGUAGAACGAAAUCUAAAUCCCUUACUCCAAGAAGUAUAAAAAUUGAUUGUCAAUUUAAAUAUUUCAAAAUUUCAUAGCUUAUUUGACCGCUUAUGUUUAGCUGAUGCAAAGAGCUUACAUGAUCUUAACCAUAUUCCCUCUAGUACUUGCUUCUUUGUACAUUUCUUGCAAAAAAUCUAGUUAUCUGGAAAUCUGUUUAAACUGGCUGCCCAACAAGUCUAAACUCUCUAGCAACAGUCAUUAACUGUAUAGAUGUAUUUGUGCAGAAGAUACAGCUUUCAAGAAUGUCUUCCAACAGUUAUUUGACAAUAUUUCAUAGUUUUUUAUUCUUUUAAAGUAUUCUAGCCUCCACAAUUCACGAAAUCAGCCUCUUGAACCUUUCAAUACAGCUGCGCAUAAGUUCCUAAAAGCAAUAAAUAAUAUCCCUUCACAUGCUAACUUCCUGAUUAAUCUUUUGAUUCAAACUAGUAACUAUAUUUCAACUCUAAGUCAGUCCUGAAUUAUAGAAGAAUUCUUAAUAAACACUUUUGAGUUUACCUGGAGCAAUGGGAAAAAAUUGUUUGUUUGUGUAAUCAUCACUAACAACUAUUUAGUCCUUUUGGAAGUUUUCGUCUUCCUGAAACUGAAUGAAAAUGUUCCCUUCAUACUUAGCUGAUCACAGGUACUCUGUAACAUACGUACAGUUCUAUACAGAUGAAGGGAAAAUAAUUACUUGCACUACUCGUAUUUGUAUACACCUGUUACAAGUGUUGCAGCCUACUUUUAUUGUUUGGCACUUGCAUCACCUGUAUAUUCUUUUUGUGUAGUCACCUUUCUAUAAUAUUUUUACACAUUUUAAGAUUAUGACAAUGAUUAUAUAUCCUUCACAGUCAAGGAAACAAAUGGUUAUACAGGCCAGUGACAUCUUGUUUAUAUAGAGGUUAUAGGCAAAUUUCACUUGAUGUUUAUGAAUAAGUUACAUACCAAUUUCACUUGAAGCCCUAUACAGUCUGUCUUGCCAUAACCUAACUAAACUGGGACAACCAAAAUGAUCAGAUUAUAUUUGCCCAAAACACCAACCACACCUGACUAAUCCUUUCCUACUUGUCAACUCUCAAAGGAUCUACUAUCCAAUCCUACCUCGGUUCAGGAAGGAUUCACCAUACCCUGGACCCUUAAUAAUACAUCCUAGGGUCCUUUCACAUAGCAAAAGCAUAUCCUAAGCUGGAAGGAUGUUUUACCUUCAAACCACAUUUGGGUCAUUCAUCCUAGACUGUGCUAACCUUACCUUGGGAUGUUGCAUGGUAAUACGAACUUGGCCAAAUUGCCCCUUACCUUAAAUCAAUUUAACUAGUGAAGUUAAAGACUGACAGCCCUCAUGGCUCAUCUUGCAUCUUUGAAAGGUUUGAGUUAGGUUAAGAUUGGGCAGUUCUGAUGAAUAGUGAUCAGGUUGGUCCUAACUGAAGACUUUGAACGAAGAUUCACUUGGCUCUAUUCCCCAAACUUACUGUGUCUGUUCCAUACAGUCACUUCUAUAGGUAUUGUCCUUCCAUAUUCCAGCUGAAGUAUCAGGAUUACGACUCCUUAGAUUGUUGGAGAAUAACCCUGAAAAAUUGUUCAGCUUUAAAUAUCUGAUUCCUGAUUGGUGGAAGAUAAUGGUUUACCAGUGACACACUUUAUGUGAUCAAUUAGACGAUUCUCUACUAGGUAUAUCAGCAGGUGCUCAAAGUAAGGUAAGUUUACUGUGGGAAGCUAUAGGUGUCAUCUCAGAAUGGUUGAAAUCUCUUCGAGUUUUAGACUGCAACAACCCAAAACUCUAGUUUACAAUAUUUUGCUUUUUAUUAGACAUUCCCAUUUAUGUUGACAAUAUUCCCUUUAGACAUUCCCAUUUAUGUUGGCAAUAUUCCCUUUAGACAUUCCCAUUCAUGUUGACAACAUUCCCUAGUCAUAAAAUUAUGUACUAAUUAUACAAUAUAAUUUUUCUGACAAAACAUUUUGACAAAGGUUUUAAUGUUAUCAUAUUCUCACUGACUACAGUAAUAUGGGCUACAGCUACAGCAGAGAAAUAUUUUUAGUAGCAGUAAUUGGUCCUUGUGAGGAGUUCUACAUAAAGCCUACAGAAUCAUCUUGCUGAAGUCACAACACUCACAUCAUAUCUGUCAGCAACCUCACUCACUUGGAAAACUUUUGAGAAUAUAUAUAAUAAAACCAA